UACGAAGGGGGCUAGCGUUGUUCGGAUUUACUGGGCGUAAAGCGCGUGUAGGCGGGGCGUUAAGUUGGGGGUGAAAUCCCGAGGCUCAACCUCGGAACUGCCUUCAAAACUGGCGACCUGGACUCAAGUAGAGGCAAGUGGAAUUGCGAGUGUAGAGGUGAAAUUCGUAGAUAUUGGGAGGAACACCAGUGGCGAAGGCGGCUCGCUGGACCGGUUCUGACGCUGAGGCGCGAAAGCGUGGGGAGCAAACGGG
rnacentral:rRNA from 1 species